rnacentral:lncRNA from 1 species
ACGCCCCAGCCCUUUUUCCCAAAAACUUCGACUUUUCUCCUCCUUCUCUUCAACUCAAAACCUUCCAAACACUAAGGUUUCCAGCCCCUACACUUAGGAUCAUCAAUCUCCUCAACACACAAUAGAAUACAACUCAAAAACCAACCGGAAACAUGUCCCAAAUCACAAGGGACUUCAACAACAAAAUCAUCAACACAACUAACAACUCAACAACAAAUCAAAUCUUUUCUCAAAGCAUAAGAUGAGCUUGGUGUGUGGGAGAAAGGAUCAGCCCACACAAGGAACUCACAUACCUCAAAAGGGAUCACCCUCGACGAUUUCCACGACGGAGAUUUGCUUGAUCUUCCUCUUUCUUCUCUUCUUCUUCUCCUUCUUCUCUUCUUCUUCUCUUCUUCACUCUCAAGCCCUAGCCUUCACUCUCUUAAAAUGGAACAAAAUGAUCCAACUAUCAGCCUAACACAACAAUAUAUCCUCAAAAGAAAUAGCUAGGGAAAGGACCAAAAUGCCCUUAAUAAUUCCCGGAC